rnacentral:rRNA from 1 species
GACGAACGCUGGCGGCGUGCUUAACACAUGCAAGUCGAACGGAAAGGCCCCCUUGUGGGGUACUCGAGUGGCGAACGGGUGAGUAACACGUGAGUAACCUACCCUUGACUUUGGGAUAACUUCAGGAAACUGGGGCUAAUACCGGAUAGGAGCUCCUGCUGCAUGGUGGGGGUUGGAAAGUUUCGGCGGUUGGGAUGGACUCGCGGCUUAUCAGCUUGUUGGUGGGGUAGUGGCUCACCAAGGCUUUGACGGGUAGCCGGCCUGAGAGGGUGACCGGCCACAUUGGGACUGAGAUACGGCCCAGACUCCUACGGGAGGCAGCAGUGGGGAAUAUUGCACAAUGGGCGGAAGCCUGAUGCAGCAACGCCGCGUGCGGGAUGACGGCCUUCGGGUUGUAAACCGCUUUCGCCUGUGACGAAGCGUGAGUGACGGUAAUGGGUAAAGAAGCACCGGCUAACUACGUG